rnacentral:rRNA from 1 species
GGUUAAGCGACUAAGCGUACACGGUGGAUGCCCUGGCAGUCAGAGGCGAUGAAGGACGUGCUAAUCUGCGAUAAGCGUCGGUGAGGUGAUAUGAACCGUUAUAACCGGCGAUUUCCGAAUGGGGAAACCCAGUGUGUUUCGACACACUAUCAUUAACUGAAUCCAUAGGUUAAUGAGGCGAAC